rnacentral:misc_RNA from 1 species
UCCGGCUUGCCACCGGCAGUUCCACUAGAGUGCCCAGCUUAACCUGAUGGCAACUAGUAGCGAGGGUUGCGCUCGUUGCGGGACUUAACCCAACAUCUCACGACACGAGCUGACGACAGCCAUGCAGCACCUGUGUUCCGAUUCCCUUUCGGGCACACCCGAAUCUCUUCAGGCUCUCGGACAUGUCAAGGGUAGGUAAGGUUUUUCGCGUUGCAUCGAAUUAAUCCACAUAAUCCACCGCUUGUGCGGGUCCCCGUCAAUUCCUUUGAGUUUUAACCUUGCGGCCGUACUCCCCAGGCGGAUGACUUAACGCGUUAGCUGCGGUACCAAGGAAUCGCUUCCCCAACACCCAGUUGACAUCGUUUAGGGCGUGGACUAC